GACGAACGCUGGCGGCGUGCCUAAUACAUGCAAGUCGAGCGAAGAAGCUUGGUGCUUGCACCAAUUUGAAGAGCAGCGAACGGGUGAGUAACGCGUGGAUAACCUACCUUUGAGCGGGGGACAACAUUUGGAAACGAAUGCUAAUACCGCAUAACAACUUUAAACAUAAGUUUUAAUUUUGAAAGAUGCAAUUGCUUCACCCAAAGAUGAUACCCCGUCGUAUUAGGCAAUUGGUGAGGGAAAGGCCUAACAAGGCCAAGAAACAUAGCCGGCCUUGAAAGGGGGACCGCCCACAUUGGACUGGGGACAGGCCCCAGAUUCCUAGGGGAGGAGCCAGAAGGGAACUUUGGGCAAGGGGCGAAAGCUUGACGGAGAAACGCCGCGGGAGGGAGGAAGGUUUCGGAUCGGAAAACCCCGUUUAUAAGGGAAGAACAUGGUGGGAGUUAACAACUCAUGUAGUGACGGUAACUACUCAGAAAGCGACGGCUAACUACGUG
rnacentral:rRNA from 1 species